GACCAAGCGACUAAGGGCGCACGGUGGAUGCCUUGGUAGGAGCAGGCGAUGAAGGGCGUAGCAAGCUGCGAUAAGCUUCGGGGAGCCGCUAGCAGGCGUUAAUCCGGAGAUUCCCGAAUGGGGAAACCCAUCUCGAGUCAUGUCGAGAUAUCCAACGCUGAAUUAAUAGGUGUUGGAGGCGAACCUGGUGAACUGAAACAUCUUAGUAGCCAGAGGAAGAGAAAGUAAAAACGAUUCCCUGAGUAGCGGUGAGCGAAAGGGGAGUAGCCUAAACCGAUUCAUACGUGGAUCGGGGUUGUGGGGCGCAAGCCAUGGUACCUCGAGCGGUAGGCGAAGCGACUGGAAAGUCGCGCCAUAGAGAGUGAUAGUCUCGUAGCCGAAAUCGUAAGAGGGCCUAUUGCGUACCCGAGUAGCGCGGGGCACGUGGAAUCCUGCGUGAAUCUGGGAGGACCAUCUCCUAAGGCUAAAUACUCGCUCCUGACCGAUAGUGAACCAGUACCGUGAGGGAAAGGUGAAAAGUACCCCGAGAGGGGAGUGAAAUAGUACCUGAAACCGUGUGCCUACAAGCAGUGGAAGCACCAUGUACAACAGGUGUGACCGCGUGCCUUUUGCAUAAUGAGCCUGCGAGUUACUGUAUGUAGCAAGGUUAAGCGGAAGCGAAGCCGUAGCGAAAGCGAGUCUGAAUAGGGCGCUUGAGUUGCAUGCAGUAGACCCGAAGCCGGGUGAGCUAUCCAUGGUCAGGUUAAAGUCACGGUAAAACGUGAUGGAGGACCGAACCGUAGUAGGUUGAAAACUGCCCGGAUGAACCGUGGAUAGGAGCGAAAGACCAAUCAAACUCGGCUAUAGCUGGUUCUCCCCGAAAUAGCUUUAGGGCUAGCGUCGCGUGAAUGUUCGAGGUGGUAGAGCACUGAAUGGGCUAGGGGCCCCACCAGGUUACCAACCCCAAUCAAACUCCGAAUGCCUCGAAACAAUGCGCGGCAGUCAGUCGGCGAAUGAUAACGUCCGUCGUCGAGAGGGCAACAACCCAGACCGUCAGCUAAGGUCCCCAAUCAUAGGCUAAGUGGUAAACGUUGUGGGAACGCGUAGACAGCCAGGAGGUUGGCUUAGAAGCAGCCAUUCCUUCAAAGAGUGCGUAAUAGCUCACUGGUCGAGUGGGCCUGCGCGGAAAAUGUAACGGGGCUAAAGCCUAUAACCGAAGCUGCGGAUCGUGCACUGCACGAUGGUAGGGGAGCAUUCUGUCACAGGUGAAGCUGUACCGAAAGGAGCAGUGGAUGUGGCUGAAGAGAUUCUGCAGGCAUAAGUAACGAAAAAGCUAAUGAGAAAUUAGCUCGCCGAAAACCCAAGGGUUCCUAUCCGACGUUAAUCAGGAUAGGGUUAGUCGGUCCCUAAGCCGAGGCCGAAAGGCGUAGGUAAUGGGAAACAGGUUAAUAUUCCUGUACCACUCUUCCACCGUUAUUACCGACGGGGGGACGCAGAAGGGCAGGCCAUCCGGGUGUUGGACGUCCCGGUUCAAGCGUGUAGGGGGGUGCGGUAGGCAAAUCCGCCGCAUCAACUCCGAGGCGUGAUGACGAGGUCGUAAUGACCAUAAAGUGGCUGAUCCCAUGCUGCCUAGAAAAGCCUCUAGGGAGGAGGAAGGGUGACCGUACCGUAAACCGACACAGGUGGGUGAGGAGAGUAUCCUAAGGCGCUUGGGCGAACUCUGGUUAAGGAACUCGGCAAAUUGACUCCGUAACUUCGGGAUAAGGAGUGCUCCUAUUAGGUGAAGGCCCUUGCGGCCGGAGCUGAAGGGAGUUGCAGAGGAGAAGGGGUAGCGACUGUUUACUAAAAACACAGGUCUCUGCAAAGUCGCAAGACGAUGUAUAGGGGCUGAUGCCUGCCCGGUGCCGGAAGGUUAAGGAGAUGGGUUAGCCCUCGGGCGAAGCCCGGAACUGAAGCCCCGGUAAACGGCGGCCGUAACUAUAACGGUCCUAAGGUAGCGAAAUUCCUUGUCGGGUAAGUUCCGACCUGCACGAAUGGCAUAACGACUUCCCCACUGUCUCAACCAGAGGCCCAGUGAAAUUGAAUUGCCGGUGAAGAUGCCGGCUACCCGCGACUAGACGGAAAGACCCCAUGAACCUUUACUAUAGCUUGACAGUGAUUUUAGGCCUGGUGUGUGUAGGAUAGGUGGGAGACUUUGAAGCGUGGGCGCUAGCCUGCGUGGAGUCGCCCUUGAAAUACCACCCUCACCAUGUUUGAAAUCUAACCUAGGUCCGUGAAACCGGAUCAGGGACACUGUCUGGUGGGUAGUUUGACUGGGGCGGUCACCUCCAAAACUGUAACGGAGGUGCGCGAUGGUUCCCUCAGGCUGGUCGGAAAUCAGCCGUCGAGCGUAAAGGCAUAUGGGAGCCUGACUGCGAGACAUACAAGUCGAGCAGGUGCGAAAGCAGGUCUUAGUGAUCCGGCGGUCCCGUGUGGAAGGGCCGUCGCUCAACGGAUAAAAGGUACUCUGGGGAUAACAGGCUUAUCUCCCCCAAGAGUUCACAUCGACGGGGAGGUUUGGCACCUCGAUGUCGGCUCAUCGCAUCCUGGAGCUGAAGCAGGUUCCAAGGGUUGGGCUGUUCGCCCAUUAAAGCGGUACGCGAGCUGGGUUUAAAACGUCGUGAGACAGUUUGGUCCCUAUCUGUCGUGGGCGCUGGAGAUUUGAGGAGAGCUGCUCCUAGUACGAGAGGACCGGAGUGGACGAACCUAUGGUGUACCAGUUGUGACGCCAGUCGCAUCGCUGGGUAGCUAUGUUCGGAAGGGAUAACCGCUGAACGCAUCUAAGCGGGAAGCCCACUUCAAGAUGAGAUCUCCCGGACCUUUAAGGUCCCUAAAGACCCCUCGUAGACCACGAGGUUGAUAGGCGGGGUGUGGAAGCGUGGCAACACGUGGAGCUGACCCGUACUAAUCGGUCGUGAGGCUUGGUCAUA
rnacentral:rRNA from 6 species